rnacentral:rRNA from 1 species
AACGUAGGGGACAAGCGUUAUCCGGAUUUAUUGGGCGUAAAGCGCCCGUAGGCGGCGAGGUAAGUUGGACGUGAAAGCUCCCGGCUUAACUGGGAGAGGGCGUGCAAAACUGCCUGGCUUGAGGCUGAUAAAGGAGCGUGGAAUUCCCGGUGUAGUGGUGGAAUGCGUAGAUAUCGGGAGGAACACCAGUGGCGAAAGCGACGCUCUGGAUCAGACCUGACGCUGAGGGGCGAAAGCGUGGGGAGCGAACGGGAUUAGAAACCCCCGUAGUCC